CACUACCGUUCAAAAGUUUGGGGUCACUUAGAAAUGUCCUUGUUUUUGAAAGAAAAGCAAAAAAAAAUGGCCAUUAAAAUAACAUCAAAUUGAUCAGAAAUACAUUGUUAAUGUUUUAAAUGACUAUUGUUGCUGAAAACGGCAGAUUUUUUUUUUUAAUGGAGUAUCUACAUAGGCGUAUAGAGGCCCAUUAUCAGCAACCAUCACUCCUGUGUUCCAAUGCCAUGUUGUGUUAGCUAAUUCAAGUUUAUCAUUUUAAAAUGAUAAUUGAUCAUUGGAAAACCCUCUUUGCAAUUAUGUUAGCAAAGCUGAAAACUGUUGUUCUUAUUAAAGAAGCAAUAAAACAGGCCUUUAGACUACUUGAGUAUCUGGAGCAUCAGCAUUUGUGGGUUCGAUUACAGGCUCAAAAUGGCCAGAAACAAAGACCUUCUGAAACUCGUCAGUCUAUUCUUGUUCUGAGAAAUGAAGGCUAUUCCAUGCGAGAAAUUGCCAAGAAACUGAAGAUCUCGUACAACGCUGUGUACUACUCCCUUCACAGAACAGCGCAAACUGGAUCUAACCAGAAUAGAAAGAGGAGUGGGAGGCCCCGGUGCACAACUGAGCAAGAGGACAAGUACAUUAGUGUCUAGUUUGAGAAACGGAUGCCUCACAAGUCCUCAACUGGCAGCUUCAUCAUUUAAUAGUACCCGCAAAACUCCAGUCUCAACGUCAACAGUGAAGAGGUGACUCUGGGAUGUUGGCCUUCUAGGCAGACUUGCCAAUAAAAAGAAAGAUUAAGAUGGGCAAAAGAACACACACUGGACAGAGGAACUCUGCCUAGAAGGCCAGCAUCCCGGAGUCGCCUCUUCAUUGAUGACGUUGAGGCUGGUGUGUUGCAGGUACUAUUUCAUGAAGCUGCCAGUUGAAGACUUGUGAGGCAUCUGUUUCUCUAACUAGACACUCAACUUUUGAAUGACCUAUGAGCCAGCUCCAAUACAGAGAGGGUCCCGACUUGAUCAGGAACGCCAAAACCGAAGUAAACCACAAUAGAAGAAUGCUCCUUAUAGCUUGAUCAACGGUUAUACUUGGAUGGACAUAAUGGAAUUUAGAUCAUGAAAAAAGAGGACAUAAAGAAAUUGUCAACUCCUAUUUAUUUUGGCCCACAUCAAACUUUGAGCCACACUGCUUCUGGUCCGGUUCCCAGUCUCCAAGUCGUGCGCAGGGAUGAAGUCGGUUUCCAUUAAUCAAAUUGCUUCAUCCUUUUUUGUUUUCUUUCUUUCUGUAUUUUUAGCCUGGCAGGUCUUUAUUUGCUAUACUCCCACACUCACAUCCUUAACUAUGAGUAACAAAUAUCUGCACUUCUUUAAAAAAAUCUAACAUGCUGCUGAUAUUCAGUGACUGUUCAACUUGUGGUGGUGUGAGUGUUGGAGAAACGUUAAGUGCUUGUAUUGGUUGUUCUGAUUUAGGAAGAGUGAAUGCGACAAUUAACUGAAUCUUGACAAAUGUUUGAUAACUGUACUUGGCCAGUUUUAUUUUGCAUAAUCAAAAUAAACUGUUCUAUUAUGCCCUUCUUGUCCAUGUGAGAGUGGUCUUGUGGCUUGGUAGAAGAUGUGAAAAGCUUCUGCAAAUGAUGCAUAUAAUGGAUAAUGUGAAAGGCUGUGACAUUACAAAAUGUUCAUGUUUAAGAAAAGAAAUAUUUUUGAAAUAAUGUAUCACUUGGCUUAACACUUGUGACAACAAAUUGUUGAAGAAGAGAUACAAGAUGUUUUAUUUUCGUUUCUUUUUUUCAGAGUGGAGCCUUAACACUUUAUUUCUGACAACAGUGUCAAUGAAACUCUAUUUGCUGUACUGUAACUCAAGUGUGUCAGCAAAAAGAUUCAGGGGAAAGAUGUCUAGAACAUCCGCUCUCAAAGGAGGUCCCUUUCUUUUUUCUUGAUGGGGAGGAAAUGUAAACUGUCUUGAGUUCAAAUUCUUAGCCGGACAAUACUAUGAUGUUGUCUUUUUCCUUGUUAUUUUAAAUCACAGCUGUUACUUUUCUCUGUUCCCCAUCAUUCCAACAACAGGGGUCUCUAAGUCAUUUUGGUGAAAAAUGUAGCAUGUACUGCUUUUAAAAUCAAGAUAGCCCUGUCACUCUGUUUCUUAUCCUUGUCCUUUCUUAACAGAAUUAAAGCAUUGAUAUAACCCUUCCACUUCAUCCUCAGAAAUGUUAAGCUUUAAUGUACUGGCAAUGCUAACUGAGAACGCCUCAAAUGUGUAAUCUUAAAAUUAAUUUGACUGAUUUAAUGUCAAGUGUAUGAAAACCCAGAGAAUAGUAUAUAUGGUAUCUGUGUGUUAUUUCUUUUUCCCGGGACCUGCUUGCUGUACUGUGUAUGUCUGUAUGUGAAAGACAGAGGGGAGUGGGAUUAUUGAGGGAAUCAGAUUUAUGUAUUGGAAAUUAUUCAUUCAUGAGAAUAUAUAAAAUUUAAGAAAACAAAUGUUUAAGUCACCCCUGAAUUUAAUAUGCGUUGUAUCAAAGGUCACUAUCACAUUCUUAGAUUUGAUCAUGGUCAUUAUUAAAGGUAUACUAUCUAUUGUAAGUGUUUUUGGUUUGUUCCGUUGUGAGUGAAAAGUAGCAAUGUCUGCAUCUACAGUAGCCUGUUUC
rnacentral:lncRNA from 1 species